CGUAGGUGGUUUGUUAAGCGAGAUGUGAAAGCCCCGGGCUUAACCUGGGAACGGCAUUUCGAACUGGCAGGCUAGAGUGUGGUAGAGGGUAGUGGAAUUUCCUGUGUAGCGGUGAAAUGCGUAGAUAUAGGAAGGAGCACCAGUGGCGAAGGCGGCUACCUGGACCAACACUGACACUGAGGUGCGAAAGCGUGGGGAGCAAACA
rnacentral:rRNA from 1 species